UAAAAUAAUGGAAGUCAUCUGAGGCAACAAAGAAAGUGUCCUUCUGAAGAGUCCGGAGAUGUCCUGAUUGGAGUCACCACUGUAAAAUCUCCUGUCAGAACUCAGGGGUUAUUGGGAAGGUUGGACUGAUCUCCUCUUGCUUUCUCUGACCUAAGAGAGUGUCUGGAAGAUGCCCUGACUUUGGGAGGAGACCACAGGCUUGUUAAAGGGCAAAGAGGGUUGGGAAUUUACUGUUAUACUGAAGCAAUAAAAGCAUGCUGUGCAGGGAAGAAAAAGAGGAUGCCAACCUUUAGAAGUCCUGACUGACUGUGCUGGUCUCCAGGCUGCCUGCAAUGGAAAAUUUUUGAGAAGCAUUUAUUUUCGACACUCUGUCCUCACCUGAAGGCAUUUUGGCCUUUUCCAUGACUGAACAUCCACCCAAGGUUUAGAUAUUGGUGAACAUAAAAGGUCAACCAAAGACUGCUUGCUGACUUGGGCAGCUACACCCUGAUAUCAGCAGCAAAAUGGGCCCACACAGGGAAUUCUCCACCUGUAAGACAGUGUCUCUGAGCCCUGUUCCCCAAGAGGGGCCUUCGUUACAGUGACUGCUCUCUUAUUUUUGAAUCCAAUCGAGGCAGUGACAGACUUCAGUGGCAGCUGAAAGACUCAGCCUGGGAGUGAGAAAAUGUGAAUUUGACUCCACCAAGUGUGUCUCUGUGUGCCUCACUUUCUCCAUCUGAAAAUUCUCUCUCCUGUAGCUUUAAUUCAGGAAACAUGUCUGACCCAGACACAGAUGAAUGGAUGAAUGAAAAAUACACUGAAGAUUUUAACUAUGUGCCUGACUCUGCUAGGCAUGGAGAAUAUAAUACAAAAAUAGUCAAUAAGAUGUGCCAGUCAACUUCUGGAAGACAGAAUGAGGCUUAUUAUUUCAUGCAACUUGCAAGUCAAAAUAUCCUUCAUCAUGAUGUCAUUGGUCUUAUUCUAAAAUUAAGGACAAAUAACAUCAGCAAUAAGCAACAACUGCUCCCUUCUAUCAAGACACAGUAUUCAUUGGCUGUUAAAAUGUCUUCAGUGGAACAUGGACCAUAUGGCUUUUUUUCGAACUGGGAAAAACCAAACUCCUGUUCAAAUCCUACUUGAUGAAAGCAGGCUUGUCACUUGGAUUUCCUGGGUAUGCAAAUGGACCAGGGCCCAAGAAGAGCCCUUCAGUGUCUUGUUCCAUGCUACCUUCAUGGUAUAGACACCUCCUAAUGGGAGACAGCCUAAAAAAGGCUCCCAUUUUCCUACUGAAAUAAAGGCCUAGUGCCCCAACUGUAGAGCA
rnacentral:lncRNA from 1 species